rnacentral:rRNA from 1 species
UUGCCCUUGGGUUCGGAAUAACUCAGAGAAAUUUGAGCUAAUACCGGAUGAUGACGUAAGUCCAAAGAUUUAUCGCCCAAGGAUGAGCCCGCGUAAGAUUAGCUUGUUGGUAGGGUAACGGCCUACCAAGGCGACGAUCUUUAGCUGGUCUGAGAGGAUGAUCAGCCACACUGGGACUGAGACACGGCCCAGACUCCUACGGGAGGCAGCAGUGGGGAAUAUUGGACAAUGGGCGAAAGCCUGAUCCAGCAAUGCCGCGUGAGUGAUGAAGGCCUUAGGGUUGUAAACCUCUUUUAGCAGGGAAGAAGCGAAAGUGACGGUACCUGCAGAAAAAGCGCCGGCUAACUACGUGCCAGCAGCCGCGGUAAUACGUAGGGCGCAAGCGUUAUCCGGAAUUAUUGGGCGUAAAGAGCUCGUAGGCGGUCUGUCGCGUCUGCUGUGAAAACCCGAGGCUCAACCUCGGGCCUGCAGUGGGUACGGGCAGACUAGAGUGCGGUAGGGGAGAUUGGAAUUCCUGGUGUAGCGGCGGAAUGCGCAGAUAUCAGGAGGAACACCGAUGGCGAAGGCAGAUCUCUGGGCCGUAACUGACGCUGAGGAGCGAAAGGGUGGGGAGCAAACAGGCUUAGAUACCCUGGUAGUCCACCCCGUAAACGUUGGGAACUAGUUGUGGGGGCCUUUCCCGGUCUCCGUGACGCAGCUAACGCAUUAAGUUCCCCGCCUGGGGAGUACGGCCGCAAGGCUAAAACUCAAAGGAAUUGACGGGGACCCGCACAAGCGGCGGAGCAUGCGGAUUAAUUCGAUGCAACGCGAAGAACCUUACCAAGGCUUGACAUAUAGAGGAAACGUCUGGAAACAGUCGCCCCGCAAGGUCUCUAUACAGGUGGUGCAUGGUUGUCGUCAGCUCGUGUCGUGAGAUGUUGGGUUAAGUCCCGCAACGAGCGCAACCCUCGUUCUAUGUUGCCAGCACGUAAUGGUGGGAACUCAUGGGAUACUGCCGGGGUCAACUCGGAGGAAGGUGGGGAUGACGUCAAAUCAUCAUGCCCCUUAUGUCUAGGGCUUCACGCAUGCUACAAUGGCCGGUACAAAGGGCUGCAAUACCGUGAGGUGGAGCGAAUCCCAAAAAGCCGGUCCCAGUUCGGAUUGAGGUCUGCAACUCGACCUCAUGAAGUCGGAGUCGCUAGUAAUCGCAGAUCAGCAACGCUGCGGUGAAUACGUUCCCGGGUCUUGUACACACCGCCCGUCAAGUCAUGAAAAGUCGGUAACACCUGAAGCCGGUGGCCUAACCCUUGUGGAAGGAAGCCGUCGAAGGUGGGAUCGGUAAUUAGGACUAAGUCGUAACAAGGUAACCAAGGGCGAAUUNCACACACUGGCGGGCCGUUACU